ensembl:lncRNA
AAACUCAGCCCAGUUCAGCAAUAGACGGGUUUAUAAGAAGAUACCCAGUCUGGAGUCAGACGUUUAAUUAACUUAAUGAUUAUAAUUAUUAGUAGGGUUAUUACGAAGUCUUUCUGCUGUGUUUUAUUAUAGUUUAUAACUAUCUACUAUCCACUUAGGAUGCCAUAGACACACUUAUUCUUCUUCUUCUGCUACUACAACUACUACUACUAUUACAACUAUAGCCAGAUAUACGUACCAGGGAGUUGAAGCUCUCUCUCUCUCUACUAAUCUCUCUGUUCCUUCUAGGGAGUUGAAGCUCUCUCUCUCUCUACUAAUCUCUAUGUUCCUUCCAGGGGAGUUGUAGAUCUCUCUCGCUCUCUCUCUCUCUCUCUACUGAUCUCUCUGUUCCUUCCAGGGGAGUUGUAGUGAGAGGUUUGGCCCGUCAUAUGAUUCAUGGACAGACAGACAGACAGACAGACAGGCAGACAGACAGGGAGGCAGGCAGGCAGACAGACAGACCAGGAGAGAGAGAGAUAGAUCAGGAGAGAGAGAGAUAGAGAGGAGGAGGAUUCAGGAGAGAGAGAGAUAGAGAGGAGGAGGAAUCAGGAGAGAGAGGGGAGGAGGAAUCAGGAGAGAGAGAUCGAGAGGAGGAGGAAUCAGGAGAGAGAGAGAUAGAGGAGGAGGAAUCAGGAGAGAGAUAGAGAGGAGGAGGAAUCAGGAGAGAGAGAUAGAGAGAGGAGGAGGAAUCAGGAGAGAGAGAUAGAGAGGAGGAGGAAUCAGGAGAGAGAGAUAGAGAGGAGGAGGAAUCAGGAGAGAGAGAUAGAGGAGUAGGAAUCAGGAGAGAGAUAGAGAGGAGGAGGAAUCAGGAGAGAGAGAUAGAGAGGAGGAGGAAUCAGGAGAGAGAGAUAGAGGAGUAGGAAUCAGGAGAGAGAUAGAGAGGAGGAGGAAUCAGGAGAGAGAGAGAGAGGAGGAGGAAUCAGGAGAGAGAGAGAUAGAGAGGAGGAGGAAUCAGGACAGAGAGAUAGAGAUGAGGAGGAAUCAGGAGAGAGAGAGAUAGAGAGGAGGAGGAAUCAGGACAGAGAGAUAGAGAUGAGGAGGAAUCAGGAGAGAGAGAGAUAGAGAGGAGGAGGAAUCAGGAGAGAGAUAGAGAUGAGGAGGAAUCAGGAGAGAGAGAUAGAGAGGAGCAGGAAUUAGAGAGAGAGAUGUAGAGGAGGUAGAAUUAGGAGAGAUAGAGAGGAGGUGGAAUCAGGAGAUAUAUAUAGAGAGGAGGAGAAGGAGUCAGGUAAGAGAGAGAUAGAAACAAGGAGGAAUCAGGAGAGAGGGAAAUGGAGAGGAGGGGGAAUCAGGAGAGAGAUAUAGAGAGGAGGAGGAAUCAGAGAGAGAGAGAUAGAGGGAGGAGGAAUCAGGAGAGCGAGAUAGAGAGGAAGAGGAAUCAGGAGAGAGAGAUAGUUAGGAGGAGGAAUCAGGAGAGAGAUAGAGAGGAGGAGGAAUCACGAGAGAGAUAUAGUGGAGAAGGAUUCAGGAGAGAGAGAGGAGGAGGAAUCAGGAGAGAUAGAUAGAGAGGAGGAGGAAUCAGGAGAGAGAUAGAGAGGAGGAGGAAUCAGGAGAGAAAGAUAGAGAUGAGGAGGAAUCAGGAGCGAGAUAGAGAGGAGGAGGACUCAGGAGAGAGAGAGAGAUAGAGAGGAGGAGGAAUCAGGAGAGAGAGAUAGAGAUGAGGAGGAAUCAGGAGAGAGAGAUAGAGAUGAGGAGGAAUCCGGAGAGAGAGAUAGAGAGGAGCAGGAAUUAGGAGAGAGAGAUGUAGAGGAGGAGGAAUCAGGAGAGAGAUGGAGAGGAGAAGGAAUCAGGAGAGAGAGAUAGAGAGGAGGAGGAAUCAGGAGAGAGAUUGAGAUGAGAAGAAAUCAGGAGAGAGAGAUGGAGAGGAGGGUGAAUCAGGAGAGAGGGAGAUAGAGAGGAGGAGGAAUCAGGAUAGAGGGAGAUAGAGAGGAGGAGGAAUCAUGAUAGAGAGAUGGAGAGGACGACGAAUCAGGAGAGAGAUAGAGAGGAGGUGGAAUCAGGAGAUAUAUAUAGAGAGGAGGAGGAGUCAGGUAAGAGAGAGAUAGAAACAAGGAGGAAUCAGGAGAGAGGGAAAUGGAGAUCAGGGGGAAUCAGGAGAGAGAUAGAUAGAGACAAUGAUGAUUCAGGAGAGAAAGAGAGAGGAGGAUGAAUCAGGAGGGAGAGAUAGAGAGGAGGAGGAAUCAGGAGAGAGAGAUAGAGAGGAGGAGGAAUCAGGAGAGAGAGAUAGAGAGGAGGAGGAAUCAGGAGAGAGAGAUAGAGGAGUAGGAAUCAGGAGAGAGAUAGAGAGGAGGAGGAA